GAUGAAGAACGCAGCGAAAUGCGAUAAGUAAUGUGAAUUGCAGAAUUCAGUGAAUCAUCGAAUCUUUGAACGCACAUUGCGCCCGCCAGUAUUCUGGCGGGCAUGCCUGUUCGAGCGUCAUUUCAACCAUCAAGCCCCCGGCUUGUGUUGGGGACCUGCGGCUGCCGCAGGCCCUGAAAACCAGUGGCGGGCUCGCUAGUCACUCCGAGCGUAGUAAUACAUCUCGCUCAGGGCGUGCUGCGGGUUCCGGCCGUUAAAAAGCCUUAUUUACCCAAGGUUGACCUCGGAUCAGGUAGGAAGACCCGCUGAACUUAAACAUAUCAAUAAGCGGAGGA
rnacentral:misc_RNA from 1 species